rnacentral:rRNA from 1 species
CCUACGGGGGGCUGCAGUCGAGAAUCAUUCACAAUGGGGGAAACCCUGAUGGUGCGACGCCGCGUGGGGGAAUGAAGGUCUUCGGAUUGUAAACCCCUGUCAUGUGGGAGCAAAUUAAAAAGAUAGUACCACAAGAGGAAGAGACGGAUAACUCUGUGCCAGCAGCCGCGGGAAUACAGAGGUCUCAAGCGUUGUUCGGAAUCACUGGGCGUAAAGGGGGCGUAGGCUGUUUCGUAAGGCGUGUGUGAAAGGCGCGGGCUCAACCCGCGGACGGCACAUGAGACUGCGAGACUAGAGUGAUGGAGGGGGAACCGGAAUUCUCGGUGUAGCAGUGAAAUGCGUAGAUAUCGGGAGGAACACUCGUGGCGAAGGCGGGUUCCUGGACAUUAACUGACGCUGAGGCACGAAGGCCAGGGGAGCGAACGGGAGUAGAUACCCGUGUAGUC